GCUGGGCAUGGUGGCGUGUGCCUGUAAUCCCAGCUACUCAGGAGGCUGAGGCAGGAGAAUUGCUUGAACCCAGGAGGCGGAGGUUGCGAUGAGCCGAGAUUGGGCCAUUGCAUUCCAGCCUGGGUAACAACAGCAAAACUCUGUCUCAA
ensembl:misc_RNA Metazoa_SRP Metazoan signal recognition particle RNA